ensembl:lncRNA
UUUUAGAAUCCGUGAUCCACACGGAAGUUACUCAAUCUGUUUGAACGAGUAUAAAGUUCAUACUUUCCCUACACACUAAUAUUGGGAAAGAGGUUUUACUUUUAUUGGAAUGAACUCGUUAUGUUUGCAGCUGCUGAGUAAUUUCGAAGAAAAAAAAAACAACACGCAAGGGCGAGGAGCAGAAGCCGAACACUGUUCCUGCUACGACGCUAACUUGGAGGGCAAGGACCACACGCCCAGCGCCACUGCCAGCACCGAGCAGGGGUAAAUGCGGACGGAAGGAAUGAGAGCUUGGUUUCUACAAAAGCUGCUUCGGUUUCUACAAAGCUGCAACGCAAGCUUCCCUCUCCCUCAAACCAGAACGCCUGCGUUGUUUCCAACUCCACAGAUCCGGUUUUGAAGAUGAGGCUUGGGCUGCCCCGGGGCGCACCCAGUAGGGCCCCAACGCUCUCACCUCUCUCUGGAACCUGUAUAGGAGACAGUUUCCCGCCUGUCUUUCCACUCUUCUCGGAGUGUCAACUUUUAACCACUUCGGGACUGCCUUUUCCAAGGAGACCCAGGAAGAAACCUGAGCGAACUCGGACGAGGGACGCAGCCCGUCCUCGCAGCGCACAAGGCCCUGGGCUCCUGGUGUCCCCAGGGCGUGACCCCUGAGCCCCACCUCCGCCCUCGUCCUGCAGGAGUCGCCCCGGAGCCCGCACGGUCCCCGGCCACGGCCCGCUCACCUUCGUUCGCCCCGCCGGCGCUCGCCGAGUCCAGCAGCUGCGCCAGCGCCAGGAGCAGCAGCAGCAGGCAAGCUUUCCGGAGUCUCAUGGCGACAGCGACUGCGCCCACCUCCUCGCACUCCCCGAGCGCCCGAGCUACGCGGUGCGUAGGCGAGCCCUCCAGGAAGUCAGGCCCGGCGAUUGGCUGGGGGCGGAGGAAGCCGCUGCUCCUCGCUCUCGUGCGAGCCCACCCCGCCGCCCAGGCCCUGCGCGCGCCCCUAGGCCGCUAGUUUAAAACUCAGAGCCGUAACGUGAGGUGCCCCCUUCUGAUUGGCUGCACCAUGACCACCAAUCAGCGGCUGCCACUCGGUUUGCGCCGAGCGCACAGGCGGAGAGAAGGAGCAGGGGGGAGAACAAAGGUGGCCGGCCGGCCCCCCUGUGGGGCGGGACCUGGUCCGCUUCGGGACCCGAUUGGCGGGGCCUUGGUGGGCGGGCCUGGAAGGGCGGGAUUGUAUGAGCUCCGCUUCCAGCGGCGGAGCUUGGCAAGAAGGACACGUGUCCUUAGUGGGUGUUUUGGCCCCCAGCUAGGGUUGCGGGAGGCCGGAGGGAGCACGAGCCAGUCUGUCUCACGUUUGUGGGCUUUUUGCUGGCUUGAGCGUAUAAAAGUUUGCAUCUCCAGCCAGCAUGGUGGAAGAUGCCUGUAAUUUCAGCAGUCUGGGAGGCUGAGGCGGGAGGAUCGUAAAUCUAAGCUCUGCCUGAGCAAUUUAGGGAGACCUUGUCUCUAAACAAGAAGGGAAAGGGCCAGGGAUUUAGCUCAGUGGUUUCGCCACCUACUCGCAAACGGAAGAACCCGAGUUCGAUCCCCGGUACAAAAAAACCCAAAACACCAAACAAACAAGGGAAAAGGGCUGGGGAUGCCCCUCCGUACCCCCAGUGUUCAGUACCCAGUACUGAAAAAUAUUUGCAACCCUUUCCUGGGAAUUGGGCGGGUGGGGCCGUGCUGGAUGAACGUGCUGUAAAGUAAAUCAGGAACUGGGAUUGCACAAUUUUGUCUACAGGCGGUCAUCAGAUUCUUGUCUAAACCUUGCCUCGUGUUAUUCUUUCUGUGAUUUUCUGCAGAAAAAGAGAAAUACUAGAUAGGCAAUCUAGUGGUUUACAUAGAUCUAGAUAUAAUCUUGAAGCUUUUUCCUCUUGACAGUUUUGGAGAGGAAAACUAGGUUUUUAUGUCAGAAAAGAAGCCUGCGGUGUGUAUUAGGGCUUGAGACGUUAAACUCCUGGAGAUUAGUAUCGUAAUGGCAGAUUUAGAGUUUGCAGUGUGGCAGCUCUUAGUGGUAGAGCAAGAUCAGGCCAAGAAGAAUAAAAAACCGCACCGCAGGUUGGAGGCAAGUUUAUUACGCCAGCAGACUGAUCGGGGAUUUCUCCACAAAGCAAUCAGCCCUGAGCUGGCAGUGAACAGGGUUUAUAUGGGCUAAGGGAAAGAGGGUGGGGAUACAUAAGCAAGGCAUUUAUCAUCAGUUCAUUGGUUGAGCAGUUACAUUUAGUUUACAUGAUUUGAUAGAAAAGUACACUGGAUACAGACACUUCCUGAGAACAAAGGACAAUGGAAGACAUAGGUGUGGGAGGGGGUUCGAGCUGGGGGUGGCUCUUUUUCAGUUAGGUCAGCUAGCCUUAGGAAAAAUCUUUUUGCUCAGAAAUCUGGCUCAGUAUGUCUGCCAAGUUACUGAAAACAAAAAGGGCAAUAAAUAAAUAAAACUCAAGAGUUAAGUUGUGUUUUCUUCAACAUGCAGAUUAAGUGAGAAAAAAGAAAGUGGAUGACUCACACAUUAACAACUAAGAAACUAAUACAUUUUCGCUGAGCUUUUAUAAAUCUGAACAAAAAUCUUGCAGGGUAGAAAGUCCAUUAUGCAACUAGCUUUAACUCCAGAGUGUACACCAAGUGAUUUGUUGGAAUCCCACCAAUGUAGACCAUUAGCUAGCUCAAUGUCAUUUUAUAGAAAUCUUCAAAAAGACUGAGCCUAGUUAGAAUUUUUGUCUUUCUUGGUAGUUUCCUAUUAAUUUGUACUAAACAGAGAGAAAUAAAUACCCCGUUUGCCCAGAUGUGGAACAAAUACAACCAAUUUCACUAAGGCCCUCUGUUGAUUCAGGUAAGGGAGACCUGUUAAAGUACAAUGUAUAUGUGCGCGCACACACACUUGUGAAACUGCGCCCAGUUUAGAGCAUGGCAAUGGAAGUUCAUUCAGCAGCGGAACGUGACAGCAGUUUGGAAGCGCCUUGUUCUUUGUGUUUCAAUCUCCUCUAAUCUGGCUUUGGGAAAGCAGGGGCAGGAGCACAGGGAGACAGCACUUCCACAAUUAUCUCCCAAAUCUCCAUAAUUGCUUGUACAGUGGAGAGGUUGAGGUGAAGUCCCACCACUAGACCCUAGAUUGGAGAUUCAUUCAUACAAACACACUUUGCCUUGUCUCAUCCCCCAGGGCGGCCAAUUAGCACUAUUAGGCCAGGCUUAUAGGUCAAUUUGAACUUGUGUUUUCCUCUACUCAGCACCUCGAUCCCUAGAGAGGAGACCAGCGGGGAAUUAGUCUUCUCCAUCUGGAUCAUCUCCGGGCAGAUCUGUGACAACCCUGGCACUCACAUCUGUCAUCCCAAGCUGAGCUUACAUGGUUGGAAAACUAAAUGAGGACCAGAGAGCCAAACAACCUGCAUGCUCUGCAUGUAUGAGGCUUCUUCUCAGUCCUGUCUAGGAAUUAAAUUACAUAAAUAAGCAGGCAUGGUGGUGCAUGCCUGUAAUCCCAACACUCAGAAGGCUGAGGCAGGAGGAUCAUCACAAGUUUGAGGCCAGCCUGGACUACCUAGGGAGACCCUGUUUCAAAAAAAAAAAAAAGAAACAAUGUCUAGUAUUUGCUGGAAAACUCAGAUAUCCUACCUUCCUUCCCAUGAUUCUGAUUGGUAAGCCUCCUUUCAGAAGAAAGAAGAGCUGAAUUCUUCAGAAGUGAAUUCUGGAGAAGCCCGACUGACCUCCAAUGCUGCUUGACAAAGUUCCAGCUGGGGGAAAAGGGAGGGUGGAACACAUCGCACCCUCAGGUUUUAUUUUUUCUUGCCAUGAUGUUUACAAUUGUUACUCUGGUCACAGGAGUCAUUGUGUUUGUGACUAACAACAAACUCUCCAUGAGGCAAAUUGGCAAUGAUGUAUUGAAAUCUGAUCUGGCUCAAGAGUCCCAAAUUCCUGUUUCUCUCAGUUCUAUUGCCACACUCACCUCUAAAGAAACCUCUCCUAAAACCCCUCUGUUUUCCCGCUAUUAUAACUCCUUUCUUCUAUUGAUGACUUUCUUUUUACUAAAGGGGUCUUAUAAAGAGACUGAAAGGACAGAUUUUAGAUGUAAGAAACAGUGGGAAAUGGGAAAUAGAAAGAAAGUUAAGACAGGUAAAUACACUAAGGAGGCAAGUUACUCAGUUUUUCUCAAAGUACUGUAAACAUCUCCUGCUCAUGGACCAUGAACCCAAAUAACACUUAAGUAAGAUGAAAAGAGGUAUAGAAAAAAAUAGAAAGCUAAUAGCAAACUAUAUUAACCAUUGCGCAGUUUCUCAAGGGCCAGCUGAUGACCACAAGUUUGACAUUUAAUUAACUAAAUCUUGCUCGUACCUCGCUGAUAUAGAGAUUUUGAUUAAGUUACCUUCUGUUCUGCUUAGGUGUGGGUAAAUAAGGGGACAACUGUAAUUUUUAAAAUGUAUUCAUGAUGUUCAAUGAAAUGAAUCAGCUUAGGAAAAAUAUACUGUUUAGCAAAAAAUAACCUUUACUUCAAUAGAAAUUGCUAAGGCAACCUAAAAUGUAAAUAUGUUCCGCCCAAUGCCUCCUAGCCAUUGCUUCAAGAUAUAAAAAUAAAUCAGACCCUGAGACUUCUCAGAGGGAACCUGCA